UGGGGAAUUUUGCACAAUGGGGGAAACCCUGAUGCAGCGACGCCGCGUGAUUUAGAAGGCCUUCGGGUUGUAAAAAUCUUUUCUAUGGGAAGAAAAUGACAGUACCAUAGGAAUAAGGACCGGCUAAUUACGUGCCAGCAGCCGCGGUAAUACGUAAGGUCCGAGCGUUGUCUGGAAUCAUUGGGCGUAAAGGGUACGUAGGCGGGUAAGCAAGUUAGAAGUGAAAUCCUAUAGCUCAACUAUAGUAAGCUUUUAAAACUGCUCAUCUUGAGGUAUGGAAGGGAAAGUGGAAUUCCUAGUGUAGCGGUGAAAUGCGCAGAUAUUAGGAGGAAUACCGGUGGCGAAGGCGACUUUCUGGCCAUAACCAGACGCUGAGGUACGAAAGCGUGGGUAGCAAACAGG
rnacentral:rRNA from 1 species